rnacentral:rRNA from 1 species
UGGAGAGUUUGAUCCUGGCUCAGGACGAACGCUGGCGGCGUGCUUAACACAUGCAAGUCGAACGGAAAGGUCUCUUCGGAGAUACUCGAGUGGCGAACGGGUGAGUAACACGUGGGUGAUCUGCCCUGCACUUCGGGAUAAGCCUGGGAAACUGGGUCUAAUACCGGAUAGGACCAUGAGAUUCAUGUCUUGUGGUGGAAAGCUUUUGCGGUGUGGGAUGAGCCCGCGGCCUAUCAGCUUGUUGGUGGGGUGACGGCCUACCAAGGCGACGACGGGUAGCCGGCCUGAGAGGGUGUCCGGCCACACUGGGACUGAGAUACGGCCCAGACUCCUACGGGAGGCAGCAGUGGGGAAUAUUGCACAAUGGGCGCAAGCCUGAUGCAGCGACGCCGCGUGGGGGAUGACGGCCUUCGGGUUGUAAACCUCUUUCACCAUCGACGAAGGUCCGGGUUUUCUCGGAUUGACGGUAGGUGGAGAAGAAGCACCGGCCAACUACGUGCCAGCAGCCGCGGUA